CUGGCAGCUGAGCCCUCUUCGUCAGGAGUUCUCAAUGGCCCCCAAGGUGCCUUUGUUUCCUCAAGGGGUUUUCAUAGCAUCCUCAGCUGUGGAAGGCAAUGUAUCGCAUCCUGUAUUACCUUCCCCUGACCUCAUAGCUUCCCAAAACAGGAACAAUCAUGGGCUUUGAAGUAAAGAAUGAAGAUGUGGAGACCUGGAGACAGGUGGCACCUCGUGCUUCCUCCGAAGGGAGAGCCCAUUUCCUAACAGCUGGAUCAAAGGCAUGAAAUGAACAUGGAGUCCCUGAAGAUGAAGAGAAGGCAUGGCUUCCAGGGAGAAAUUGUACAUUACAGGAAUGCAGAUGUGAUUCCUAUGGAUGAGGGUAACCUAGAGGCUAGAAGAACAAUAGGACAGAAGAAGCCUGGGUCCCUGAACAA
rnacentral:lncRNA from 1 species